rnacentral:rRNA from 1 species
UNUGACUUGAGUGCAGAAGGGGAGAGUGGAAUUCCAUGUGUAGCGGUGAAAUGCGUAGAUAUAUGGAGGANCACCAGUGGCGAAAGCGGCUCUCUGGUCUGUCACUGACGCUGAGGCUCGAAAGCGUGGGUAGCGAACAGGAUUAGAUACCCUGGUAGUNCACGCCGUAAACGAUGAGUGCUAGGUGUUAGGCCCUUUCCGGGGCUUAGUGCCGGAGCUAACGCAAUAAGCACUCCGCCUGGGGAGUACGACCGCAAGGUUGAAACUCAAAGGAGUUGACGGGGGCCCGCACAAGCGGUGGAGCAUGUGGUUUAAUUCGAAGCAACGCGAAGAACCUUACCAGGUCUUGACAUCCCGAUGCUAUUCUUAGAGAUAGGAAGUUACUUCGGUACAUCGGAGACAGGUGGUGCAUGGUUGUCGUCAGCUCGUGUCGUGAGAUGUUGGGUUAAGUCCCGCAACGAGCGCAACCCUUAUUGUUAGUUGCCAUCAUUAAGUUGGGCACUCUAGCGAGACUGCCGGUAAUAAACCGGAGGAAGGUGGGGAUGACGUCAAAUCAUCAUGCCCCUUAUGACCUGGGCUACACACGUGCUACAAUGGUCGGUACAACGAGUUGCGAGCCGGUGACGGCAAGCUAAUCUCUGAAAGCCGAUCUCAGUUCGGAUUGGAGGCUGCAACUCGCCUCC